rnacentral:rRNA from 1 species
UACGGAGGGAGCGAGCGUUGUCCGAAGUUACUGGGCGUAAAGCGCGCGUAGGCGGGAAAUUAAGUGAGAAGUGAAAGGCUGGGGCUCAACCCCAUGCAGUGCUCCUCAUACUGGUUUUCUUGAGGGUGGUAGAGAGAAGUGGAAUGGCUGGUGUAGCGGUGGAAUGCGUAGAUAUCAGUCGGAACACCAGUGGCGAAGGCGGCUUCUUGGGCCAUUACUGACGCUGAGGCGCGAAAGCCAGGGGAGCGAACGGG